rnacentral:rRNA from 1 species
AGUGAACGCUGGCGGUAGGCCUAACACAUGCAAGUCGAACGGCAGCACAGUAAGAGCUUGCUCUUAUGGGUGGCGAGUGGCGGACGGGUGAGGAAUACAUCGGAAUCUACUUUUUCGUGGGGGAUAACGUAGGGAAACUUACGCUAAUACCGCAUACGACCUACGGGUGAAAGCAGGGGAUCUUCGGACCUUGCGCGAUUGGAUGAGCCGAUGUCGGAUUAGCUAGUUGGCGGGGUAAAGGCCCACCAAGGCGACGAUCCGUAGCUGGUCUGAGAGGAUGAUCAGCCACACUGGAACUGAGACACGGUCCAGACUCCUACGGGAGGCAGCAGUGGGGAAUAUUGGACAAUGGGCGCAAGCCUGAUCCAGCCAUACCGCGUGGGUGAAGAAGGCCUUCGGGUUGUAAAGCCCUUUUGUUGGGAAAGAAAAGCAGCAGGUUAAUACCCCGCUGUUCUGACGGUACCCAAAGAAUAAGCACCGGCUAACUUCGUG